rnacentral:rRNA from 1 species
UCGCCUCCCGCGGAUCAUCCGGUGUUCUUCGCCGGUGCACUUCGCUGGGGGGCGGGCCAGCAUCGGCUCGCGCCGGGGGAUAAAAGCUUGGGGAACGUAGCUCCCUCCGGGGAGUGUUACAGCCCCUCGCCUAAUGUCCCGGGGCGGGCCGAGGACUGCGCCCUUACGGGCAAGGAUGCUGGCGUAAUGGCCGCCGGCGGCCCGUCUUGAAACACGGACCAAGGAGUCGAACAUCCGCGCGAGUGUUUGGGUUGAAAACCCUCACGCGUAAUGAAAGUGAACGGAGGUGGGAGCCUCGGCGCACCAUCGACCGAUCCUGAUGUCUUCGGAUGGAUUUGAGUAGGAGCGCGGCUGUUCGGACCCGAAAGAUGGUGAACUAUGCCUGUGUAGGGUGAAGCCAGAGGAAACUCUGGUGGAGGCUCGCAGCGGUUCUGACGUGCAAAUCGAUCGUCAAACAUGGGCAUGGGGGCGAAAGACUAAUCGAACCAUCUAGUAGCUGGUUUCCGCCGAAGUUUCCCUCAGGAUAGCAGUGCUGGUCUCAGUUUUAUGAGGUAAAGCGAAUGAUUAGGGACCCGGGGGCGCUAUUAAGCCUUCAUCCAUUCUCAAACUUUAAAUAUGUAAGAAGCCCUUGUCACUUAGCUGGACGCGGGCGCUCGAAUGCAGCAGCACUAGUGGGCCAUUUUUGGUAAGCAGAACUGGCGAUGCGGGAUGAACCGAACGCGGGGUUAAGGUGCCAGAGUGGACGCUCAUCAGACACCACAAAAGGCGUUAGUACAUCUUGACAGCAGGA